AAGGCGUAGAGAAAUCGAGUCCGAAUAGGGCGUUUUUAGUCGCUGGGUGUAGACCCGAAACCAAGUGAUCUAACCAUGGCCAGGAUGAAGGUGCCGUAACAGGUACUGGAGGUCCGAACCGACUGAUGUUGCAAAAUCAGCGGAUGAGCUGUGGUUAGGGGUGAAAGGCUAAACAAACUUGGAAAUAGCUGGUUCUCUCCGAAAACUAUUUAGGUAGUGCCUCAAGUAUUACCUGCGGGGGUAGAGCACUGUUUUGGCUAGGGGGUCAUGGCGACUUACCAAACCAAGGCAAACUCCGAAUACCGCAGAGUACAGCUUGGGAGACAGAGCACCGGGUGCUAACGUCCGGACUCAAAAGGGAAACAACCCAGACCGCCAGCUAAGGUCCCUAAAAUUGGCUAAGUGGGAAACGAAGUGGGAAGGCUAAAACAGUCAGGAUGUUGGCUUAGAAGCAGCCAUCAUUUAAAGAAAGCGUAAUAGCUCACUGAUCGAGUCGUCCUGCGCGGAAGAUGUAACGGGGCUAAGCCAGUUACCGAAGCUGCGGAUGUGCAAUUUAUUGCACGUGGUAGGAGAGCGUUCUGUAAGCCUGUGAAGGUGUCUGGUAACGGAUGCUGGAGGUAUCAGAAGUGCGAAUGCUGACAUGAGUAGCGUUAAAAGGGGUGAAAAGCCCCUUCGCCGUAAGCGCAAGGUUUCCUACGCAACGUUCAUCGGCGUAGGGUGAGUCGGCCCCUAAGGCGAGGCAGAGAUGCGUAGCUGAUGGGAAACAGGUCAAUAUUCCUGUACCGAUCAAUAGUGCGAUGUGGGGACGGAGAAGGUUAGCUCAGCCACCUGUUGGAAUAGGUGGUUCAAGCGUGUAGUCGUGCCUGGUAGGCAAAUCCGCCGGGCUUAGAUGAGGCGUGAUAACGAGUGUGCUUGCACACGAAGUGAGUGAUACCCUGCUUCCAGGAAAAGCCACUAAGCUUCAGCUAUUGAUUGACCGUACCGCAAACCGACACUGGUGCGCGAGAUGAGUAUUCUAAGGCGCUUGAGAGAACUCUGGAGAAGGAACUCGGCAAAUUGAUACCGUAACUUCGGGAGAAGGUAUGCCCUCGGUAUGUGAAGUUGAACAAACGGAGCAGAAAAGGGUUGCAAAAAAUCGGUGGCUGCAACUGUUUAAUAAAAACACAGCACUCUGCAAACACGAAAGUGGACGUAUAGGGUGUGACGCCUGCCCGGUGCUGGAAGAUUAAAUGAUGGGGUGCAAGCUCUUGAUUGAAGUCCCAGUAAACGGCGGCCGUAACUAUAACGGUCCUAAGGUAGCGAAAUUCCUUGUCGGGUAAGUUCCGACCUG
rnacentral:rRNA from 1 species